CUGCAAGGAGUCAGACAGCUGCAGCUUUCACCUGAGCAAGCUGCUGUGCUGAGCAUGACACGAAGUCAGGUUGCAGUAUUUUGCCCUAGCAAGAUUUCAAGUUCUCCUGAUGGUUCUGCAAGAGGAGAGUUCUCUGCUGAACCACGUAUGCACUGUCUUGUUUUGCUGCUGAGGAAGAAUAAUGCUUGUCAUCACAUUCCUGCUCUUGUGAAAGGACUGAUAGAUGAACUGUCAAAGCAAGGUCAUGUGCAGAGCAGCCAGGCUCCCACUGCCCAACCCAACCCCUCUAUGUGGUUUCAUGUGGCUCCUUACACUGAGAACUUGCUGCAGGCAUUGGGAGGAAGCCUCAGUGCAGUGCCAGAGCCCCAUUACAUUCCCCUGGAUUUUUUGUGCAAUCGAACAUAUGCUUCUGAUCCUGAAAUGGAGCAAGUUGUCAUGCUGGCAGUGGUUGGAACAGAUGCUAUGAAGAGUGCUGGAGAGCUCCUUCAUCAGAUCCUUCUUCCUGGCCCCAGUAGUUGGUCUCAGAGGCCAGAAGAACCCGGUUUGGGAUUUGAGCUCCUUGGUCUCAAAUGGUUGUCCCAUCUCACUCAAUGUCAGGCCAAAGAAGUAACCCCUUUUGAAGUUGGAGAUACUUACUGGCAAAGCAGCCUUGGUACACUAAUGUCAAACCCAGUCCUUGUAUGUGCGUUACGGCGAAUCAAUGCUUUCAGAGUUCUUGCAGAUGCAUUGGAGAGAUUAACACAAUGGAGGGAGAAGCUGAGCAAAAGUGGCGGUCUUCUCCAAGUAGUAAUGGCCCUGACCCCAGAGGUGACAUUCAGGCAAGCCAUCCUGUUCUUCACAGAGACAGAGUUUGUAUCUGAUGCAGAACACAGCCCUGCUAUGAAAUACCUGCCACCACCUGGCAAGAGGGCCAGGGCUGAAGUGGGAGAGAGGCAGAGAUGCCACACAGAAUCUCUGUUCACCUACUUGCAAACAGGAGCCCAGAUUCUUUGCACAGUGCUGCUGAUCAAACCUGGUGCCUGGAGCCGCAGUUUUGCAAGGAUCCUCCGAAAACUAGACCUGGAAGAAUUCACUGUGGUUGGCAUGAAACACAUAAACCUGGAACCAGACAUUGCCUUAAGACUCCUUUCUUCUGAAGUGAAACAGGAUCCUGCUGUUUUAGAAGCUCACUGUUCCUACCUUACUUCAGACACUGCUCUUGUGCUGUGUCUUCAGAGGCCAAAUGCUGUGAAAAAGCUGGUAGAUUUACUGGGGCCAGAGGAUCCUAAAGUAGCCCAAGCACUAGAUCCAUCCCUCUGGAGGGCUCAGUAUGGCACCAGCAUAGUCCAAAAUGGAUUUUAUGGCUCUGAAUCCUAUCAAAUAGCUGUCCGGGAUAUGAAGCUGUUUUUCCCAGAAGGGCUGUGCUACAGUGAGUGUCAGACAUUAGAGGAGGAAGAGAUCUAUAACCUGAAACAUGACCCCAUAGUCAGUUUGGAAAUCAAGAAGCAGCGGAAGAUCAUAAAGCGUGGAGCAGGAGGGCAGCUCAGUUCACUGGGCUCUGAGCAACCAUGCAACCCUGAUCAGCCAUUGCUCGACAACCUCUGCCAAACUACUUGCCUCCUAUUACCUGGAGUGAGCCUUCGGGGUUCAGAACCCCCGCCUUAUGUGGAACUGCUUGAUGAGCUCAUUGGUACAGAUUUCACAGUGACUGGAGUACGUCUCACUGUUCUGGACAUGCCACAGGCUCGCUUCAUCUCCAAGACACUAAGCAGGGCAGGAUGCAGUGCUGCAGCACAGUGUUCUCUUUUAAAGAAUGGUUUGUGUCUUGUGCUGGCAGCACAGCGAGACAAUGCAGUCAUUUCCUUCGACUCCCUGCUGGACAGGGUCAGUUGGCAGAAGCAGUCAGUCCUGGACGCUGUGCAGCAUCUCCUUUAUCCUCAAAAUGAGAAACAGGCUGAAGAGCUGCUUUGUUGCCUUUUUGACUCCCUGACAUCUGAGAGCAUCCACCAGAUUGAAUCCCAGGAUUGCUAGCCAGGAUGGUCCAAGCUUCCAAGCAUGGGUGGAUGCUGCUGUGGGUAUCUGUGCAGAUGGACACUCAGGGGACACCCGGCUUUUAAGAGCACUGAUGUUUGUUUGUCAUUAAAACAUAACUUCUGAAGUAUGGUAUUAGCAUCAGUAAGAUAAAUGAGAGUGGUGGGAGGCAGGAUCAGUGCUCAAGAACAAAUCUUUCUGAACCGUAGUUGUGGUUUCUAGUGGAAUGUGUUCAGAGGCAAUCCGCUUGUAUUUGUGGAGCAGGGGUUGGAGCAUUCCUGUGGCUGGAAAAACUCAGGAAGUAAAACAAAUCCAGGGGCAGGUGCUUGGGACUCCAUCUUCCCCAGUCCUCAAAGACAUUAUGGAGAGACUCCAUUUUCU
rnacentral:lncRNA from 14 species